CCGCAGUCUCUGGCAGUUCCCCAGGCCCUGACUUUCACCCCCUUGUGUUUUCCAGGCCGUCUUCGUCGCCACCUUCGACGUGUCCUCUGAGGCCGACCUGGAGUACAGGCUGCAGAUCACUGCCAAGGCCAGCAGUGACAAUGGCGGCCCCACCACCGAGCGCAUGAUUCACCGGGCGGAGCUGCCAGUCAAGUACGGCAUCUUCAUCAUCCUCACCAGCCUCGAGGAGUCGACCAAGUACGUCAACUUCUCCACCGAGGAGGCAGGGACAAGUGUGCCAGUGACACAUCGGUAC
rnacentral:lncRNA from 1 species